rnacentral:lncRNA from 1 species
UAUCAAGAAAAUACAGUAUGAUACCACAUUCAUCCGUCCAAUAGAAAAUGAUACUAAGCAUUCAUUCAUCCAAAGAGACAUAAUAAUAAACAUUCAUAUAACUAAAGGGAUGUGAUAAUAAAUAUUCAUCCAAAGAGACAUGAGUAGAAAGGAAACAACCUCAUUCAUAUACACGAAAAUAGAGAUUACAAGAGUCAUAAAGAGUAUAAAGCUCUCAUACAUCCGAUCAAUAAAAUAUAACUUAGUAAUCUAAUACAAAAUAAAGUCAGAGAGAUUGGACAUCGAGCACAAGAUCCAAAUAGAUGAAAACAUGAUCAGCCUCGUCCGCGACCGAAGGGUCUGGACCGAGAGAAAGAUAUCGG